GGAAUCAGGGGGAGAAGGAAAAUGAACCGGGGGGAGGGAAGAGCUGCUCCACACCCAACCUGCAAGCUGGCAUGGAAAUGGUGGAGAGAUAUCUGUACUACAGGAAAAUACAAACACGGAAUUGCUGGUCUCCGUGUGUUUGUUAUUUUACCUCUGUGAUCCCAGAGCGGGUUAUGAGCACUGGCUGCUCUCGCAGACCCUCCUGGCCCCACCAAGGCGGCUUCGCAGAGCCAUUUAUCUAGGAAGACGCCGUGCAUGAUUCCCGUCUACAGUUUUCUUAGUCUAGACAUUGGUCACUGCCACUGAGGAGCACCAGCAAAGCCUCUUCCACCUGUGGGGAGUGACAGGGUUUCAGUUCUGUUGCUGUUCAUAUGGUUGUUGCUUCAGUUGUCUGGCAUUUGAUUAAACCUUACAUUUAUUAAGUCUGAAAGGAAGCUGUUAAAUCAGUCAGUGUAAAUUAUGCUUUAACUUAGCCCAUUAUGCUGCCAAUACAAUUUGUUGCAACGGACUUUUAGGUCUCCACUUUCUUCCAGUUUGGACAUACCAAAGAGCAAACUAAGCAAGGGGAGGAUGCGUGAGGAAAACGCCCGGAAACAUGCCAUUUGUGGAGCAAGGUCCCAUGACAUGGGAUGCGCCUUGAUUUUUUUCAGUUUAGAGAGUAAGAUUUUUUUAAUUAAAUA